rnacentral:lncRNA from 1 species
AUUUUUUCUUCUUUUUCUUUAUUUCCCACAUUGAGCAUAUAUUACUAUUCUAGAAAUCUUUUCUUGCAUUUAAAAGAAAUCCUAUCAGCUGAUUCAUGACCAUAGAUGUCAAGUAUUUGAUUGUUCUGGAUUGUAACUUGUUUGAAUCUAGUGAUUUGAAGUUAUUUUUUAAAAAGCAGAUACUUGAACUUCUUGUUUGAGGCCUUGAUAACUCUCGUCCAGAUGGUCACAGGAAGCCCUCACCUGUUCUUCCCGCCUCCUCUUCUCUUGUCAAUUGAUUAUGUGUACAAUGUCCAGAUUAAGCUCCCACAUGCUCAGCAAUUACUUCCCAUAUUCACAUGACAAAGGCUUCUUAGCCUGCCAUCAAGGCCCUAGAUAAUUUGACAUUAAAUUUUCUUGCCUUCCUCUCACUGGUCUCGUUUGUGGAUGAACAAAACUUGCUAUGCCCUGGUCAAAUUACUUUCCUUGCUGACCUUUGGUGUAUGGUUUCCCGCCUCCACAUCUUGACUCACUCUCAAGGGAUGCCCUCCCCACCCAGCUUGGUCUGAGUAAAUUUUUCCCUGACCAUCAGCCUGAGGGGUUGUCACUCUCUUCUGAGCUCCUUCAGUAAUAUACUUAUGUUCUCUAAAAUAUGCUUGCAUUUGUUGGUGACAUCUCUUCUAGCAUUACACUGAACUCUUCUUACAUCUUAUAAGGUUGUUUAGCUCUGUUCUUCUCAACUAGGUUAUAAGAAUUGACACAGUGGAUAAUGGCACUGACUCUCAAACGUCCUGCUUGGGUUUGAAUCCUGGCUCCAUCUUUUAGGUGCUCCCUGACCUGGACAAGUUACUUCAUUUUACUGGGGCUCAGUUUCCUCAUCUAUAAAAUGGAGAAUGAGAGUUAUCUACACAGAACACCUCUAAAUGAACUAACAGACAUUCCCUGAGACCCUACUACGUAUGAAGAACUGUGCCUGGUGCUAUGGAAAAUACAGUCCUUGCCCUCAAAGUGCUUACUCUUCAGUGGGAGUGGUGGAUUAUUAUACUUGUCUUCCAUGGCUUCUUGCUAUUUUGUAUUUGUUACGUUACACAGCUAAUUCAAGACAGAACGUAAUAAAAGCCAUAGAAGAGAUGCAAAGUUUAAUGAGAGGACAAAACAGAGGGACACAUUUGAUGAGAUGGGGAGACCCAAUGUCAAUUGCUUUGGGCUUAGUCCUUUUUCUAAAGAUGAAUAAAAUGCUAGAGAUAGAGCUUUAGGGCCUUAAGCUCCUGUUAUAAAAGGCUCUGGCAGAAAUAAGACUUUCUGUAGAAAUUUUGGAUUCUUU